rnacentral:rRNA from 1 species
UACGAGUGCCCCGAGCGUUAUCCGGAAUCAUUGGGCGUAAAGGGUGUGUAGGUGGCAGUGUUAGUCUAUUGUUAAAACCUGGGGCUUAACCCCAGAUGUGCGAUAGAUACGGCACAGCUAGAGGAUGGCAGGGAUGUAUGGAACUCAUGGAGUAGGGGUGAAAUCCGUUGAUAUCAUGGGGAACACCAAAAGCGAAGGCAGUACAUUGGGCCACUCCUGACACUGAAACACGAAAGCGUGGGUAGCAAACAGG